CUUGAUGUGGAAAGGUGUAGACCAACGUUUCAAAAAUGCAGAUAUGCUUUUAAAAAGCAUUGAUCUCUCAAGCAAUCAUCUUACAGGGGAAAUACCAACUGAAAUGGAGUACUUAUUUGGNNNNNNNNNNNNNNNNNNNNNNNNNNNNNNNNNNNNNNNNNNNNNNNNNNNNNNNNNNNNNNNNNNNNNNNNNNNNNNNNNNNNNNNNNNNNNNNNNNNNNNNNNNNNNNNNNNNNNNNNNNNNNNNNNNNNNNNNNNNNNNNNNNNNNNNNNNNNNNNNNNNNNNNNNNNNNNNNNNNNNNNNNNNNNNNNNNNNNNNNNNNNNNNNNNNNNNNNNNNNNNNNNNNNNNNNNNNNNNNNNNNNNNGAUUUAACUGAAUCAUGAAUAUUUUUAGUCUUGGGAUAGAUGCUUUGCUAUUACUCAUUGUUUGUGUUUUUUCAUGGCUAUUUUUGUAUGACUAAAGCUAAUUUUUUGCAGGAUCUCCUGUUCCUGAUGUACGUGAUGAUUACAUAUUUGCUGUUAUAAAGUAAUAUGGAUUGAUUAGCAGUGUGGAGUCCUCACUCUUGACUGUACUUUGGUUAUGAAUAAAUGAGAUUUGUUAAAACUUUAGUGUGUGUCACUGUGUUUUGUUAGGCUUUCAAGUUUGGCAGUUUUUGUGUGGAAAAGUGAUUGCUUCUGCUAUCAAGUUAAUAAUGUAAUGGGUUUAGUAAUAUGUAAGAGUACUCAUUAGUGGCUUGUAUAUUAUCUUUAUUAGCAGAAUUGUUAGUAGUGUUGUACUUUGGUUUAGUGAGAUGUUUGAGUCAUUUAAACAUACAAUCAAGGACAUUUUUCUGACAUCAUGUUUCGGAAGUUAAUUAUAUCUUUAAUUAAUGUAACUAAAAAAACCUUUUGAUCAUUAGAAAACUGAGUGUUUAACUCAUACUAAUCACUAAUCACUCAUACCCAUUUCACUAAUCUCUCCAAAUUGGAAAUCCUAGACUUGUCUCAUAACAUGGGGAUUGUGGAGAUUGGUGAUGAUUGGAUUCCUCCUUUUCAAUUACAAUAUUGGAUUCUACCAUCUUUCCAAUAAUAAAUUUACAGACUUAGUUUCUUUUCUAUGCAGCAAAAGUAAGCCUAACAUAUUGACAAUGUUGGAUUUAUCAAACAAUGAAUUAAUGGGUGAGUUGCCUAAUUGUUGGAAUAAUCUAACCUUAUGGCUUCAGUUAUCAAGUUCAUUUUCCUACACAUAUUGUUAAUGAUAUAUAUCUGAUGAUACUCUUUUUCUUGAGACACACUCUUAAGAGAAGUGAUAAAAAUAGAUGAACUAAGUGUUCAACUCAAUCACUUUGUUUUGACUGAAACAAAGGAUUGUAGCACAAUCUGAGUUGAGUUAUGUCCAAACCACACCCGAGUACAAAAGCUUAUUGGGAAAAGGCUAAAUAGUCUGUACAUAAGCUUAACUUUACACAUAACCUUACCCCCACCACUGAUCGAAAUUAACUUUACACAUAAUAAGCUUAUCAUAUCUAAGUCAUUCUGUCAAAAUUACUAUUAUUGUUAAGAAACACUCUAAAUCUCUUAUCUACUUCGGAUUCUUCACCUAAUACUGUUGUUGAGAUGUACUUUUAAGGCCAUAGAUCACACUUUAUUGGAUAGUAUUAAUAAAGUAUUAGGAACUUGCCCAAUUCUUUGAAAAGCAAUCCAGACAAUACAAAUUUAUAAUAAAGUCAUCAUUUCCAAAAUUUUAAGCUCAUGGAUCACAUUUUACCUAAUUAUGUAAUUGGUCUUUGGAAUUUAUUAUCAAUUGGGCCAACAACUAACUAUUCCAAAUUCGGUGACUACAUUCUUUUUAAAGAAAAGUAGAUGCUUUCUGUAUUUGGAUACUGUGGUGAUGACCAUGGACUCUAGUAAGUAUUAAACAACAUAUUGCAACAAUUAGAACAUAAUAUUCCAUCUCAUCCUUAUGCAAUUAUUACAAAAUUAUCAUGAAUUAAUGAUAGAUAAAUCAUCUCUGAUAAAUGAACACCUGAUACACCGCAAAUUUCCAGCAGGUAUGGUUACACCAGCUGCAAAUCUAAAGUCAGGCUAAAGGAUGGACGUACGUUAAUAAUGAACAAGAAGUGAAAAUGUGCGAAGGCGAUGAGACAAAUAUAAAUGUACUUAUGUAGGAGUGAAGGUUGAAAUGUUCAAAAACAAUCCUGAAAUAUAUUUUAAGAUGCUAAUAUAAUGAAUCUCAUUCAGAUUCCAAAUCAUGCUUUCACAUCACACUAACAUCACUCUAGUGCAUUAAAAUGAGUCCAUAAAACAUGUUAAGAAUCCUACGUCGGAUGGUUAUAGAUUUAACAAUCACUAGUGCAUUAAAAUGAGUCCAUACUAAUUAGCUCAUUUUAUGCACUCUGUUUGCAUCUAUUGCCAAAAUAUAUAAUGUUGAAUUAGUCGAUAUUUUCCAGUCCUUUAAACAUCAUGCAAUAAGGACAUUGUUUUGAAACUUGUAUAUCACAAUCAAGUUUUGGAAGUAAUAUCUUCAUUUUAAUACAACUAAAUAUAUUUAUAUUAAAAUGUUAGUUAUGUUUUUAACUCAUACGAAAAAACAACAGCACUAAUUUCACCUAGUUGUACUGUUAAUAAAGUGUUAUAGGAAUUACCUUUCCCAAUUCUUUCAAAAAGAAUCUAGACAAUACUAAUAAAGUCAUUGAUUACAAAAUUUAAAAGGACAUGUGGAUCACACAUUAACUAAUUAAUUAUAUCAUUGAAUUUGGCAAUUUACUAUCAAAUGAGUUCACAACAGACCAAUGAACCCAACCAUUCAGUCACUACAUUCUUUUUAAAGGAAAAGUAAAUGCUUUUUGUAUUUAUAAAAGACCUUUACAUGUACAAUGUAUCUUUGAAAACAAAAUUGCACAAUGACGUGAAAACAAUUGAAUAGCAAGAAACACAUGCACGCACCUUGGAAACAUCGCGCAAAUGGUGUUUUACAGAUCGACCUCAAGCACUAUAUAUCUGUGUAUGUGUUAGUUCUUGAGAGUAUACUUUCCAUUAGAAAAACUCAAUUUUAUUUUGCGAGCGAAAUUACAAUGAGAAACUUUAAUAUUCUUAUAUUCCAUGCAUUGUUGGUGUUGUUCUCCAUUGUCGGGUUCAGCUCAGCAACAGAGAAUGAAGAAAUGAUGUGCAAAGAGAGGGAGAGACGUGCACUCCUCAAGUUCAAACAAAGUCUUCAAGAUGAGUUUGGCAUGCUGUCCACAUGGAAGGACGAUCCAUAUGCAGAUUGCUGCAAAUGGAAAGGAGUUCAAUGCAACAAUAAAACCGGCUAUGUUCAAAAGCUUGACCUACACAGUUCUUAUGAUUAUCAAUUCAGCGGUGAAAUCAAUCCUUCUAUAACUGAGCUACAACAUCUAAAAUAUCUAGAUCUUAGUGGUAUGUUUACUGGAUCCCACAUCCCAAUUUGUUUUGGCAACUUCAGCAAGUUAAGAUACCUUAAUCUCUCAUCUGGUGGUUAUGAUGGGGAAAUUCCUUCUCAACUUGGAAAACUAUCACAGUUGCAACACCUUGAUCUCAGCUACAAUUAUCUUAUUAGAACAAUCCCUUUUCAACUUGGGAAUCUAUCCCAUUUGUGACACCUUGAUCUCAGUGGCAAUGAACUCAUUGGAGAAAUACCCUGGCAACUAGGAAAUCUUUCAUUGUUGCAGUCUCUUUUAUUCGGUUCCAGAUUUCGAAUCGAAUCCAAUCUUAGAAUCAACAGCCAAAGUCAAGGCAAUGUUGAGUGGCUACCAAAACUCUCUUCCUUGAGAAAUCUUGACUUGAGCGGUGUUCAAAAACUCAACGACUCUUCUCAUCAGACCCUACGAUUCCUAGUGAAGCUUCCAAGUCUUGAAAAGUUGUAUCUCAGACAAUGUGGCCUUACGAAUGCCAACAUUCUUCCUUUAUUUGAUUCCCGAUUGAACUUUUCUACCUGUCUUUAUGACCUUAAUCUAAGUGACAAUCAGCUGACAUCAUCGAAAAUAUUGCACAAGGUGCUUAACUGCAGCUCCAAUCUUCAAAAGCUUGACCUUUCUUCUAACUUCUUAACAGGUGUCAUUUCUGAUGAUUUUGGAAACAUAAUGCAUUCACUUGUGAAUCUCGAUCUCUCAUACAAUAGUUUUGGAGGCAAGAUCCCAAAAUCCAUUGGAAAUAUAUGCACCUUGCAGACAUUUGCUGCUAAUGAUAACCGCUUUAGUGGAGAGCUUUCAGAUUUUAUCAUCCAUAAUAACUAUUCCCACUGCAUUGGAAAUGUAUCCUCGUUACAUGAACUAUCCUUAUCGUAUAAUCAGAUUUCUGGCAUGUUGCCUGACCUUUCAGUCCUCUCAUCUUUGAGAAUGUUAAUGCUUUGGGACAACAAAUUAAUUGGAGAAAUACCAACAAGCAUCGGAUCUCUCAAGAAGUUAGAGGAAUUGUAUCUAGGAGGAAACUAUAUUGAAGGUGUUGUCGCUGAAUCCCAUUUCACUAAUCUGUCCAAAUUGCAACACCUAGAUUUGUCGGAAAACCUAUUGACUAUGAAGGUUAGUGAUGAUUGGGUUCCUCCUUUUAAAUUAAAUUAUUUUGAUAUGGGAUCUUGCAAUCUCAAUUCUUCUUUUCCUAUUUGGCUCCAUACUCAAAAUUUCUUAGAGAAACUUGACAUUUCAAACAGCAAUAUCACUGGCCAGGUUCCCAACUUAGAACUCGAGUUUACAAACAAUCCUGAAGUAAAUUUGAGUUCAAAUCAACUUGAAGGUUCCGUUCCUUCUUUUCUAUUACAAUCACAAGCACUGCAUCUUUCCGAUAAUAAAUUUUCAGAUUUAGUUUCCUUUCUAUGCAGAAAAAGUAAGCCUAAUAUUUUGAAAAUUUUGAAUUUGUCAAACAAUCAAUUAAAAGGUGAGCUGCCUGAUUGUUGGGAUAAUGUAACCUCAUUACAGUUUGUUGAUCUGAGUAAUAACAAUUUGUCGGGAAAGAUUCCAUCCUCAAUGGGUGCCCUUGUUAACAUGGAGGCUUUGAUCUUAAGAAAUAAUAGUUUGAGUGGACAACUUCCUUCGUCCUUGAAGAAUUGCUCAAGAAAGUUGGCUUUGUUGGACCUUGGAGAAAAUAUGUUUCAUGGUCCAAUACCUUCAUGGAUUGGAGACAGUUUACACCAAUUAAUUAUCUUAAGCCUUCGAUCUAAUAACUUCAACAGAGGUCUACCUUCAAACCUAUGUUAUUUGAGAGAACUUCAAGUCUUUGAUUUGUCACUUAAUAGCUUAUCGGGAGGAAUCCCAACAUGUGUAAACAAUUUUACUUCAAUGGCCAAGAACUCAACUUCGUUGAAAGAUCAUUCGUAUACAAUCAAUUUUCCCAAUGGUUCUAUCACUCUACCAUAUGAUUUCGACAUAUUCUUAUUUUGGAAAGGUGUAGAUCGAAGCUUCAUAGGUGCAGAUAAGCUUUUAAAAAGUAUUGAUCUUUCAAGCAACAAUCUAACAGGGAAAAUGCCUACUGAAAUUGAGUACUUGUUUGGAUUGGUUUCCUUAAAUUUGUCAAGGAACAAUCUCAGUGGAGAAAUCAUUUCAAACAUAGGAAACUUCAAAUCACUCGAAUUUCUUGAUCUGUCAAGAAAUCAUCUAUCAGGCAAAAUUCCUUCCAGUCUAACUCAUAAUGAUCGUCUCACUAUGUUGGAUUUGUCAAACAAUCAACUCUACGGAAAAGUUCCAACUGGAACACAGCUGCAGACAUUUAACGCUUCAAGUUUUAAGGGAAAUUCUAAUCUUUGUGGAGAACCACUUGAUACAAAAUGUCCAGGAGAUGAUCCACCAAAACAUCAAGUUCCAGCAACUAAUGAUGCAGGAGAUGACAGUUCAAUAUUUUUGGAAACAUUAUACAUGAGCAUGGGGCUAGGAUUCUUCACGAGUUUUUGUGGCUUUGUUGGUUCAAUUUUGUUAGUACCGUCUUGGAGAGAAACCUACUCCAAAUUCUUGAAUGCUUUAAUAUUGAGAAUCAUCAUGUGGUGGAAGCAGUGAAUGUAUCUGGCCAGUUGCUCUAAAGUGGAUGAAUGAUGGGCAGGUAUUUCUGUUAUUUCUUACUCUGCUAUUUAGCUUUGUGAUAGUUGCUUUAUGAAUGACUGAAAUUCAUUUACCAUAUGACAAUUUUAUUAUUACCACUGUUGAUAUAUGUGUAACUAAAACAUUUCUACAAUUUGUAUUGCAUUUCCCAGUGAUCAAUAAUCUGUUUCUUUUUAACAUUCAAGUUAGUUUUGUAAAAUCAUGUCUUGUGUCAUAAGAAAGUAUAAAAAUAAAUCUUCAAAGUCUAGAAAUGGAAAAUUGUAUUUUUUUUACUUGCUCAUAUGUUUGAUCCUAGUGGUUUAAUGCUCUUUCCAAAUACUGAAAUUGAAUUUUGUUUUUCAGGGUCUUCAAUUUCUUUGUUAUGAGAUAAAUAUUUGGCUAGCAUCCUGGAGAGUACACCUUUGAUGAAUAACUAUUCUGUUGUACUAAAUAAAAUGAAUGCAGUUCAAAUUUCUUGUAUGAUAACGUUGAUUGUAUUUUGUUAUGUUUUGAAGUUUGGUAAAUUUUUUAGAUGGAAAUUUGGGAUUUUUGCUGUCAAGUUAUUAUGUGAUACAUCAAAUUACUUAACAUAAUGCUAACUGAAUAUCACAACAUGCACUCUGCUUUCAUACUAACAAUACAAUAUAUGUUUCUUAAAAUUUAGACAGAAAGUAUAUCACAAUCAAGUAAAUGACUUGUGCAAUUCAUGAAUAUCAUGAAAAGUAUAUCACAGUUGAUUGAAGAAAGGUGAACUCAUGGAUAUUGUAUUUUGAGUUAGAGAUUCAUGAAUUGGAUAAGCCAUUUACUUAUUGUGUUCCUAGGACAUUGUUUUGACACUUGAAUAUCACAAAAUUAAGUUUUAGAAGUUAUAAAAACAAAUUUUGAUUUUGAGUUUUUUUUUUUUUUUNNNNNNNNNNNNNNNNNNNNNNNNNNNNNNNNNNNNNNNNNNNNNNNNNNNNNUUUUUUAUAUAUAAAUACAUAUUCAUGUGCGUGCAAUCAUAACAACUCCAAUAAAAACACUAAGACAAAGAAUUCUAAUGUUAAUGCAUGUUCAAGAUUAAAACUUUACUUUCUUUAAGAAGUCAAAUAAUAUAUUAACUGAAAAUCUCAAUUAAGUACAUGGGAAAAAAAUACAAAAAGUCCAAAAGAGGGGCAAAAAUAGCACCCAAAAAGAAAGAACGUUACACAUUUAAGUUGAAACAUCAUGUAGUUUUAAUCCCUAAACAAAUUAACGGAUUGUACCAAUUAUUUAAAUCAUACUCGAAGCCUUUUACCUUUGAAUUCAAUCACCAAACAAGAGUUAAAACUAUUAGCUAAGAUUGAAUGAGUUGAGAGUCGACUUAUCAAGUUAGUAACUAUUUAGAAUUAUAUUUAGAAGUCUUGUAGAAAAGUUAAUCCUACAAAAGGUCAAUUAAAGCUUUUGAUAGAUUUACCAAUUUUUUUGUCUAUGAUAGUUAGCAAAAAUAUAAAUAGGUAAUAAUUUAAAGUGUUAUUUAAACUUCUUAGAUUAGUCGAAAGACAAAAAAUUAGUAUGUUACAAAUGUUGGUUGUAGUGGAUUUUUUAACCCAUAAUUAUAUGUUUGUGGACUACACAUGUGGCAAAUUUUUAUUGGUGUUGGAUAAGUUACCCACAAUUUAGUCUCACAAGUGUAGCUCAAAUGGUAGCAAAUAGAGACAUUAUCGGAGUAACCGAGGUUUGAACCACACAUUCCUCCACAUUUAAAUGUGUGAGUCUUGUCAUUAGACUAUUUGACAAAAAAAAUUACCCACAAUUUUUUAAAGGAGUAUUAAAAAAAACUAAUUUAGAAUGUAACCAAGUAAUAUAGAAUAAUUUAGCUGCAUUUGAAUAAUUUUCUUUUCUUUUAUUGUAUGAGAAUUAAAAUACCUGAAUAUCCAAUUAGUCCACAUGUGCCAUGAUGAUGCAAAUUAGAUAGAAAUUUCUAAUCAAAUUUUGUACUAUUUAUUUAGUAUCUAUUUUGGAUUUUCUACGUCCAUCUUUCCCUCUCCUUCAAGCAAAAAAGUUGAAUUCACAUAUUACAAGAGAAUUUUUUAUACUUAUUUUUGUUAGGGUACAUGUUAGGUAUUUUUGUCAUCCCAAAACAUAAAACAUUUUUGUUAAAUUAGAGAUUAAAAAUAAAUAAAAUUUAUCAACAAUGAAUAAUUCACCUUGUCUUCCCAAAAAUAUUCUCCAACUACGAAGAUUAUAGUCGUCACUAAAUGGCGGUACAAACUUCGUAGAUAUAAUAUGAUAAUCCAAGAGAUAAUUAAUUUUAUAGAGGCUAAAAUCAAUAAUUUUUACUAUCUUUAACAAUUAAUUAAAUUAUUUUGUUAGGGUGGCUUUGUUUGAACUUGGAUGGUGCAAGUCAAGGUGUGUCUUUAGCUAGUUGUGGGGGACUCAUACCAGAUAGAAACAGACAGGGCCGUCUCCGACAAUUUGGAGGCCCCGAACUAAUAAUAAAAAUGGAUCCCAAAUAAAAAAAUAUAAUUUUUUUUUAUAAAAAGAACAUUAUAUAUUUAAAUUGUAAAUAACAUAAAAAAAUAGUCAUUAUAGGAUGGGAUGAACAGCUCAAUUGAUUAAGCUAGCUAGUUGAGUUCAAUUACAAGGUUUGGAUCUAUCAUCUUUGAAUUUGAAUUCUAGAUUUCCUAAUUGGCUUCAAACACAAAAUAUCUUAUCCAAUCUUUACCUUUAAAAUGUCGGUAAUCUACCUCCAAUACCUAUUUGGUUUUGGGGCAAAUUGCAAGCAAUAGAUAUAUUGGACAUUUCAAACAACAAUCUUACUGGAAAGUUUCCCAAUUUAGAACUCAAUCUUACCAACUAUCCUACUACAAUAGAUUUGAGUUCAAAUCAAUUUCAAGGUUCCAUUCCUUCUUUUUUAUUGCAAGCAAAAUCCCUUAAUCUUUCCAAUAAUAAAUUUGCAGAUUUAGUUCCCAUUCUGUGCAAUAAAAGUAAACCUAACGUUUUGGGAAUUUUGGAUUUAUCAAACAAUGAAUUAAAGGGAGAGUUGCCUGAUUGUUGGAAUAAUUUAACCCUAUUACAAUAUGUUGACCUGAGCAAUAACAAGUUGUCAGGAAAUAUUCCGUUCUCAAUGGGUGCCCUUGUUAACAUGGAGGCUUUGAUUUUAAGAAAUAAUAAUUUGAGUGGACAACUUACUUCCUCAUUGAAGAAUUGCUCAGACAAGCUGGCGAUGGUGGAUCUUGGAGAAAAUAAUUUUGAUGGUCCAAUACCUUCAUGGAUUGGAGACGGUUUACACCAAUUAAUAAUCUUAAGUCUUCGGUUCAAUAAUUUCAGUGGGAGUCUACCUUCAACUCUGUGUUAUUUGGAAAAACUUCAAGUCUUGGAUCUGUCACUAAACAUCAUAUCAGGAGGAAUUCCAUCAUGUAUUAAGAAUUUUACUUCAAUGGCUCAGAACACUAUUAGCUCAACUUCAGGUCAUUCGUAUAAGUGCGGUGUCGUUAUUAAUGGAUUCAUUGGCAUAUCAUAUCAUCUUGACAUAUCCUUGAUGUGGAAAGGUGUAGACCAACAUUUCAAAAAUGCAGAUAUGCUUUUAAAAAGCAUUGAUCUGUCAAGCAACCAUCUUACAGGGGAUAUACCACCUGAAAUGGAGUACUUAAUUGGAUUGAUUUCCUUAAAUUUGUCAAGGAACAAUCUCACUGGAGAAAUCACUUCAAAUAUAGGAUACUUAAAGUUACUAGAUGUUCUUGAUCUGUCGAGAAAUCAUUUGUCGGGCACAAUUCCUUCCAGUUUAGCUCAAAUUGAUCGUCUCUCUGUGUUGAAUUUGUCAAACAAUCAGCUCUAUGGAAAAAUUCCAACUGGAACACAGCUGCAGAGCUUUCCUGCUUCGAGUUUUGAAGGUAAUUCUAAUCUAUGCGGAGAACCCCUUGAUACAAAAUGUCCAGGAGAAGAACCGACAAAAUCACAAGUGUCAACAACAAAUGGAGGAGAUGAGAGUUCAAUAUUUUUGGAAGCAUUAUACAUGAGCAUGGGGAUAGGAUUCUUCANNNNNAAUAUUGUUACUACCUUCUUGGAGAGAAACUUACUCGAAAUUCUUGAACACUUUGAUAUUGAAAGUCUUGAAGUGGUGGAAGCAGUGAAUGUACCAGUCUAGUUGCUCUAAAAUGGAUGAAUGAUGAGCAGGUACUUAUCUUCUUUUUUUACUUUUAUAUGAUUUAACUGAAUCAUGAAUAUUUUUAGUCUUGGGAUAGAUGCUUUUUGCUAUUACUCAUUGUUUGUGAUUUUUCAUGGC
rnacentral:lncRNA from 1 species